rnacentral:tRNA from 1 species
GUGGCUAUGGCUCAGUGGUAGAGUGCUUGCCUGGCAUGUGUGAGGUCCUGGAUUCAAUCCUCAGUACCACA